UACGUAGGCAGCGAGCGUUGUUCGGAUUUACUGGGCUUAAAGAGUUCGUAGGCGGCGCAGAAAGUGGGGUGUGAAAGCCCUCGGCUCAACCGAGGAAUUGCGCUCCAAACUACUGUGCUAGAGGAAGCUAGAGGUGAGCAGGAACAGAUGGUGGAGCGGUGAAAUGCGUUGAUAUCAUCUGGAAUACCGGAGGCGAAGGCGGCUCACUGGGGCUUUUCUGACGCUGAGGAACGAAAGCC
rnacentral:rRNA from 1 species